ensembl:snoRNA snoRNA:Psi18S-1397 snoRNA:Psi18S-1397
UUGGCAGAACUUAAUUCCGGACCUGGUACACCUUCGGGUGCUAAGUGCGGCCAGACAUUUUGCCAGAACAAAUUCCAGGCAUUGUCGUCUUCAGCAGUUGCCUCAGUGUGGCCUCUGUCUGAACAUGGCACUGUCACAAUC